UUUUUUUCUUUUGCCUUUUUUUUAAUAUUUUUUAAAGAAACAAAGCCAAACAACUGUGUUGGAGAUUUACUGUCAGUGAAGGCUUGAGUCGCUGGGCUUUCUUCUUGGACUUUAGGUUCUUAGCUGAGUGACUGACGAGCGGUAACUGAAGAAAAAAAAAAAAAAAAAAAAAAAAGCUCACCUUAAAAUUCUGAAAGGACUUGUGCUGGAGAUGCGGGAUUUACUCAAAAAAAUCUGGCUUAAGUCACUGCAAACUAAGUACAGUCACAAAGAAAGCCCAUCUCCCAUCCAGAGGCACAGAGGUCAGUGACUGGGUCAGAGCAAGGUUUCGUCAACCCCGGCAUCUCAGCAGGAAGAAGAAGAAGAGGCAGUGGAGGAGGAAAAAGAGAAGCAGAGUGGGUGGAAGAAUGGAAGGAGAGAAGGAUAGAAGCAGUUCGAGGAGGUGGUUCGAAGCGGAUGAACCCAGAGCAGGUGAACACAGCUGUGGAUCGCCAUGGGCUCUCUGGCUGCCUUCCUCCUGUGGCCCCGGUGUUGCAUAGAAGGGUCCUGAAGAGCCAAGAGGGGCCAGCCAAAGCUGCAACAGAGUGGGCAGGCUAGGCCAGCCAAGCCAGGAGAGAGGCAGGUGAGGCGGGUGAGCUGAGCUCUUGUUCCCGCCGGCUAGGAGCCUCCUCGGCAGAGUGGAGCAGCACGGAGCAGGAGAAAUCAAUACAGAGGAGAGAGGCUAGCAGAGGUUGCCCAGCACCGCCUGCAGGCCUUGGAGCCCAGGGACCAACCACCACUACUCCCAGCUCCGCUCUCCAUCUCUCGUUCUAUCUUUCUCCAGCAGUCCCAGCACCAGCCAGGGCCAGGGCACCAACCCUGCAACCGCCCCACACGCAGUGUGUGUGUCAGCGUAUGCACAUUUGUGUGUGUAAAAGAGAGAAAAACAGAGAGGAAAGAGAUAGAAACAGUCUUUGUGUGUGGUUCAGCCAGAGGGUUUUUUCUGGCGCCCAGCACCGCUUGAUAAAACUUUGUCAGAGAGACACGGAGACGGCAAAGGAGGGAAAGUAACAGUAAAGGAAUGAGGCAGAAUGUCGAAGGUCUCUUUUCUACCCGCUCCCUCCCUCUUAUUACUCAUUCCACCUUCACUGUUUGAAUGAGAAUCCAUCUGAGAUGAUACACAGGACUUUUCAGCUUAGUCCCAUUUCUAAGCACGUAGCACGCAAUACUCCAAAGAUCUCAUGAGCCAGGAUGAAAAGACAAUUUGAACUUUUUCUCUCAUCUACUGUAUCAGGCACAACCUGUCUUUUCGCCUUAGAUUUUCUUACCCUCACAACAGCAGCUCCCAUCAGAGGAUAUGGCAGUGCAGUAUUGAUCUGUAAGGUGGAAGAGGGAAAGGCGGGCCCAGGCUUUCAUACCUCUCUCCCUUGCUAUGUGUGGGGGGAAAUAGCAGCUGAAGUCCACUUACUGCUGUGCAGCAGGGAUCCCAUGGCAGCCCAAGUGAAUGGCUGCUAAUUGAAUGAGAGCUGGAAUGGAAAGGACAGUAGUUUUACCUGUGCAGUUUUGCCCCUUCUCAUCUGACUCUUUUCCCCUUCACAUUUAUGAAAAUGUUCAUCUCCUCACUAAGAGACUCAUGCCUCAGACGUUUGAAGCAAAAUUCUUGGAAAUGGAAAAAAAUUGCCAAAAUCAUCAGGAAUGACUUUGCCUGGUUUGUUAUCAGUGUAGACAUCAGCACCUUCAGAAAAAAAUUAAAAGUGAAACAAGAUGAUUUUUAAAGCAGUGGUAGCAGCAGACUAAAACUUCAGCUCUGAGAACAUAUGGACUUAUGGACGGGGAAGUGGACGAUUUCCCAAACAUGACAACUUACAGAGAUUACAUUGCUCAUCUAGAUGCAUUCUGAAAAGCCACUGUGAAGAUAAAAACCAGCCUUGGGCCUUGAGUAACAGAGUGUAGUCAGGUUCUUUGAACAGGUGUAGCCUUGGCCAUAUUUCGGAAACACCACCUCCACACCUGCACAGUCAGUACAGUCAGUUAAACACAUCAUUAGAGCCAAAUCAUCGUCCAUCUCGUCUGUUGUCUCGCUUGA